rnacentral:rRNA from 1 species
UACGAAGGGGGCUAGCGUUGCUCGGAUUGACUGGGCGUAAAGGGCGCGUAGGCGGUUCGUUCAGUCAGACGUGAAAUUCCUGGGCUCAACCUGGGGGCUGCGUUUGAUACGUGCGGACUUGAGUGCGGAAGAGGGUCGUGGAAUUCCCAGUGUAGAGGUGAAAUUCGUAGAUAUUGGGAAGAACACCGGUGGCGAAGGCAGUGUCCUGGGUGGUCGCUGACGCUGAGAGGCGAAAGCCAGGGGAGCGAACGGG